ACAGUUUAAUCAUUUUUUUCAUCUUAUAGAGAAAAUUAUACAGAACAAAUUUCACCAUGUUUGAUCUUUUCUUUUGGUACACCACAGCAUUAUCCUGUCACUUGUUUUUUCUUGACAAGCCCUUUGGGCUUUGGCUAUGUUUGCAGAAAGAAGGGAAAAGGUUUUUUUUUUUUCAAUUUGAAAUUGAAGAAGAAAAUUGUUUUUCUUUAUUGUAUUAGUGAUAUCGUCACAGAUGAUUUGGUCUAUAAUGUUUAUCUUGGGAUGCCUGGGAUUGUGGUGUUGGUGAUGGUACAAGUGCUGGAGAUGGAGGCAGCAGUGAUAGUGGUAGUGGUUAAUGUGAUUUUUGCUAUGAUGGGAUGUGCAGUCUUGAAUACCAUUCAAGGCUAAACUCAUCUCUUCUUUGGACAUCACAUUUGGCCUUUCCUCCAAUCAUCUAUGGUUCAUCACAGCAAAUAGAGUGACAUCAAAGUAUCAUUAUUGUGAUCUGCAAUUAGUAGAAACUUAUCGCAACUUCAUCUGAAAGAAGACUGCUGGACUUAUUUAGUGUUGCAGUUUAUCACUUGGAUCUUUGACCAGUCUCUUGUUGCCUAUGCUUAGCAAUGAUGUUGUCGCCUACCAUGAUUCUUAUAUCAACAUUAUGAAUUUUAGUUAAGUUCUUUAACAUAUGCAGCUCUUUUUUUUAAUAUUAAUUUUACCUGAUUCUCUUUUAAUUUGUUUGAAAAUUCAUGUUCCAUAUUUGCUAUUCCAUUUUUUCAAAUUUCAGCUAUAACCUUGUCUAAUGCUCAUUUCUAAAAUUUCCAGGCUAUACAUGGUGCGGAAAGGGGAGAAGCAGCUGCCCUGCUUCUUUCACCUGAGAGACCAUCAUCAGUGUUUGCUACUGAUCUAACGCUCAACGGAAGCCAGUUUACAUAUUUCCUAACUGCUCCACUUCAGGCAUUUUGCCAGUUAGUUGGCCUCUCUUCUGAAGUUGAAGCUGUAAGUUGACCUGAAUCUUCAGAUUUCCAUUGACAGGUUAACAAGUGCUUGAUCUGAUGUGUUCAUAGGCAUUUUCAGGAUGUUUAUAGAAAUGCAGAGGGCAUACUUUCCUCUGCUUUAGCUGAAUGGGAGGUAAUACUCUGCACAUGCAAUUCUCUGAAUCAGGUCUGGGCCCAGGUUUUACCUGAUCCAUUUCUACGGCGACUGAUUCUAAGGUACUUGCUUUUCUCAUUUUAUCCAUACAUGUACAAUUUGAUUCUUUGCAGUCUUUCCUUGUUCACAAUAUGAAAUAUCAAGAAUGUCAAAAUUUAUCCUUGAUAAUAGCAGACUGUCACUGCUGGGGUAAAAAAUAGAUGUCGCAUUACACUAGCACAAUUUGGAUCUGUUUAACAUUUGCUAUUGUAAAUGAUAUUUCUUAUUUGGUGAAAGAUACUUUUGGAGAAUAAAGGAUUUAUGAUGCCUGUGAUGAAUAUAUGAUGUCCUGUGUUCUACUUGAAAAUAAUUGAUGAUGGAUAUGAACAUUUUCUGACCUACUUUUACUCGUCCUUUUUCAAAGGUGGCAAGUACAUUCUCUUCCUUGCCAAGCUCGAUUGGGACGAAAUUGGGUUGUCUGAAUUGCUGUCUCAUUCAUUUGAGCAGUGAUGACAAUAGCCAUUUGUCUUUGUAUCAGUGGAGCUACGUUACAUGCCCUCACCAUUUUUGCAUCUUGGGAAAGUAUUUAAGUUAAUGUGAUCACAUUGUGCUAUAGGAGGCCAGCUUUGUGAACGGAACAUUACAAGGCUGUCAGUGGUAUGGUGUUCAUACACCAGAAACCUUAUUAUGAUUGAUUUAGCCUGUAUAUUUUACCUCUUUGUGAUUUUCCUUAUCAUUUAAUUCACAGUACUACAUUAUGUCAACACAUUAUUAUCUGCAACAGAAAAUUAAUACGCAUACUUAUGUUGGGAAAAUUAAGCAAUAUUUAGACCUUUCCUGUAUAUGAAACCAUGGGAAUUUUACUGCUGUUACUGAGAACUGCAAGGCAGAGAACACAAGUAAAGACAGCUCAUGGUUACUGCAUUGGAGGGUUUGUUGCUGGAAAAACAGGUUGGUUGUUUGUGUAGCAAAAGAUUUAAGGGACUUGAGGUGGGGGGAUAACAUUUCUUGAUUUUGUUAAAGAGUCUGUUCAUAUUUGCAUAUUGGCAACAACAUUUUAAUUCCUUUUAGCUUUUGCUCUUUUACUCCCUGUAUGUUUUACAUUGCGUUUUUUACUAAGGCUUGUAGGUUUCUUCCAUAUGAUGUUUUUGACCAGGUUUAUAUUCUGCUGGGCCGUGCUUCAUCUCUUCCGCCCUUUAGAGAAGAGUAGCCAGCAUCUUCCUGCUUGCCUACCUAGUCUACCUGAGUCCGUCUCUCCAAGCUCUGCAAAAACUCAAGUCCAUAUCCUCCAGCUUGCAGAGAACUUUGGGGUUGUCGAUCAUUUUCACUUUUCAGAUUCCAUCAGGGACUCGGUGCCGAACAGAUAAUUACUGCCAUAGUGUAUAAGCUUCUGUAGAUAAAAUCAUGGUACAUAGAAUCCAAUCAUUUGUUGAUUAUUUUGUGUCCAUACACCAGAUCAUCAGCUCUGUUGGUGGACCGCGGCUCAAGCGGGAAACCACCAAGAAAAAAACUGACAAUGUAUGUGACUGCAACUCAGACUAGAUGCCUUAGUUCAUAGAUUGUCAGAGCGCUGCACCCUUGUGGUGGACAUGGAUAAAUUUAUCAUUGCUGUCAAUUUGCGGUGGCAUGUACGAGUCCAUUAUUGGUAGCAGAGAAACAGUGAAUAGGGCCAAAUUGUUUUCAUAUGCUUGUAAGCAGGCCUAUGUCCAUUUAGAGGUGGAUUUCCAAUUUUACCGGUGAAUUCAUGUGGCUAUGGAAGAAUGUCCGUAUACUGGAACAUGCUUUGAUUGCUGAUCAUGCAUCUAAGUCAUGCUUUGUUGUUAUUGGCUGUAACUUAGAAUGCAUAACUUCCAUUGCAUAUUAUCUCUUAUAGGCUCUAGGAAACCCUCCUAACAGUGAGAGCAGACUACAAGCUAAUGGUGAUUUUUGUGAUUCAAUUUGUGUUACUUGUGAUGGGAUGAAAUUUAAACAAGAGGAAUAUGUAUGUAAAGAUCUGUGUUUAGUCUUAUGUGGGCUAUGCACUGAUAGAUCUUAGGUACUUAUAUGGAGUUAAGAAAUCUAAAUAAUAUAUUUUGUCUUAUCUAUUUUGUUGCUGUUUUCAUGGGUUGAGCAUAACAAGCUUAUGUGAAAAAAUCUUAGCUUUUGGCAUGCAUUCUGCUAGUUGUUGCUCGGUUCCAUCUAUUACUGUAUUACAUAAGAGGCAACCAGCAAAUGGGACAUGAGAGAAUAAUAGAGGAGAACAAAUUUAAAACAUAAUUUUGUUUUUGAUGAGACAAUUAUAGAUAUGUGGGUCAGGAUUUGAAAUAUGGAAAUUUGUUGAAGAGGGGAGGAAUUCCCUUCAAUAUGAACCCUUGUAUCCUUAUUAUCAAAAACUAGUAUACAUGCACAUGCGUAUUUAGUAAGCCUGGAAAAAUAAUGAUCUAAUAAUAGUAAUAGGAUUUGAUUGAGCUUUUUUUUUUUGAGUAAAUAAAGGAGGGAGAUAGAUUAGAGAACUGCAAAUUAGAGGACAAUAAUGAGAAAAUAAAAUAAAUGAAAAUAUAAAGUUUGAAAUUUAAAAUAGGAAAACAGAGUUAAUUAAAUAAAACAUAGAAUUAAAUAUAUAAAUUAAAAAUUGAGAACAAACAAUAACAUGAAUAUAAAUUCGAACAUAAGAAAUAAAAAUUAAAAUAUUAAAAUAUUUUGUUAAAAAGGAAUAGUUAUCUUUAAAUGUAAGAAAGAUUUUUUUUUGUUGAAAAAACAUGUCACUUCCAAUUCCACUAAUAAAUUUCCUUCUCUUUCUUUUUAUUUCUAGCGAAUUUUCUUUUUUAAUCAUAUUAGACAGCAUAAUUGGUGAAUCCAUAAGAUAUAAUUGAUCCUUACCAAUGGUGUUCCUUUUGCAUUAGGUCGGAAGUUGAAAAUAUUAAUUGUUAGAAACCAUGGUCUUGUUGCUUCUUUACCUAGGAGUGUUUUACCACAAUGUGGUACAAUUUGAUAUGGAUCAACAAGACCACACAAUCAAUAUUAAGUAUUGCGAGUCUUUACACUAGCUAAAACACAAAAUUGACCAUACAAUCAAUUUGAUAUGGUUUUGUUGCUUCUCAAAUCUCGAGUGCUCCUCUAAAAGAGCCCACGGCCAUAACCAAAGGCAGUAGCAGGAGGAGGAAGCGCCAUGCUCCCCUCCAAUCCACGACCAAAGCCUAGGGUGACACCAGAAGGAGGAGGAGGAGCAGAACUACUCGCCGCUGUGAUGCUGGAGCUCCGAUCAUGCGCGGCCACGAUGACGAGCUGGUCGGCGGGCCUCGCCACGUCCCUCCUCAGCCUCCCCAAGGACUGAUGCAGCCUCUCGAGCUCCCCCAGGCCGAGCUCCUCGAUGUUCGCGCCCCACAAGGUGGCCUCCCCCGUCCGCUUCACCCUCACGGCCUCCUCGAGCGCCGCCUUCUUCCUCCUCUCGGUCUCCAGCAAGGCCGCGAGUUCUGUGUACUGGCGGUUGAGCUCGCGGACGACCAUCAUCUCCCGCGCCGCCGGGAUGCGGCGGUCGGCAAACGGCAGAGUUGGAGGGGAGGGGCUGUCGGAGAGGAAGCGGUCGAUGAUGGAGCUGACCGAGGGGUGGCCAAAGGAGAAGGGCUUGCCGGCGGGGGAGAAGACGAUGAUCCCGAUCUCGGCGCCGCACAGGAUGGAGAGCUCGUUGGCCUUCUUGAAGAGCCCGGCGCGGCGCUUCGAGAAGCACACCUGGCGGGCCUCCUCUCUCUCGAUCCUCUUCAUCUCGAUCUUCUGACGUCCCAUGCUCGGCUUCCUCCUCAUCACCAUAUUAUAUUUAUAUUUACGUUUUCGUAAGAGGGAGGGAACAAGGAAGAGAAGAGAGAAGGGAACAAGGAAGAGAAGAGAGAAGGGAGGCGGAGGGGGAGGGAGAGAUUGGUGCAGCUUAUAUAGACGACGGGUUGUCCUUAAUUUGUUCGACCUUUCCAUGCGUGGUAACUCUAGGUGAUUUGGGGAAAGAAACAUGCUGAUUGACAUCAAAUUGCGGACUUUCCUAAAUUGACACCAUAUGUAUACCAUACAAGGUAAGCCAUUGAUUUAGUUUUCAUCAUUAAUUGAUUUACUCUCCCCUUCCAUCACCAUUAAGCUUCCAGAACCAACCAUCCUUAUUCAGUUGCAAUCAAUCUCUCUAGACAAUUCAAAAGAGUUAGGAAAAACUAUGUGCCCUGCAAUCCACAUGUAGUACCUCUUUUCCUUGUUUUUGAUUUUCAAUCCAUUAUGGAAUGCUAGUCGUUUUAACAGUUUAAUCAUUUUUUUCAUCUUAUAGAGAAAAUUAUACAGAACAAAUUUCACCAUGUUUGAUCUUUUCUUUUGGUACACCACAGCGUUAUCCUGUCACUUGUUUUUUCUUGACAAGCCCUUUGGGCUUUGGCUAUGUUUGCAGAAAGAAGGGAAAAGGUUUUUCUUUUUCAAUUUGAAAUUGAAGAAGAAAAUUGUUUUUCUUUAUUGUAUUAGUGAUAUCGUCACAGAUGAUUUGGUCUAUAAUGUUUAUCUUGGGAUGCCUGGGAUUGUGGUGUUGGUGAUGGUACAAGUGCUGGAGGUGGAGGCAGCAGUGAUAGUGGUAGUGGUUAAUGUGAUUUUUGCUAUGAUGGGAUGUGCAGUCUUGAAUACCAUUCAAGGCUAAACUCAUCUCUUCUUUUGACAUCACAUUUGGCUUUUCCUCCAAUCAUCUAUGGUUCAUUACAGCAAAUAGAGUGACGUCAAAGUAUCAUAAUUGUGAUCUGCAAUUAGUGGAAACUUAUCGUAACUUCAUCUGAAAGAAGACUGCUGGACUUAUUUAGUGUUGCAGUUUAUCACUUGGAUCUUUGACCGGUCUCUUGUUGCCUGUGUUUAGCAAUGAUGUUGUCGCCUAUCAUGAUUCUUAUAUGAACAUUAUGAAUUUUAGUUAAGUUCUUUAACAUAUGCAGCCCUUUUUUUAAUAUUAGUUUUACCUAAUUCUCUUUUAAUUUGUUUGAAAAUUUAUGUUCCAUAUUUGCUAUUCCAUUUUUUCAAAUUUCAGCUAUAGCCUUGUCUGAUGCUCGUUUCUAAAAUUUCCAG
rnacentral:lncRNA from 1 species